rnacentral:ncRNA from 1 species
AGGUUCGUGGUUCGCAAUUAUCCCACACAAAAAAACUAAGGAGGU